rnacentral:rRNA from 1 species
UACCAGCACCCCGAGUGGUCGGGACGAUUAUUGGGCCUAAAGCAUCCGUAGCCGGUUCUACAAGUCUUCCGUUAAAUCCACCUGCUUAACAGAUGGGCUGCGGAGGAUACUAUGGAGCUAGGAGGCGGGAGAGGCAAGCGGUACUUAGUGGGUAGGGGUAAAAUCCGUUGAUCCAUUGAAGACCACCAGUGGCGAAGGCGGCUUGCCAGAACCGCACUCGACGGUGAGGG